UCAUUGUAAAACUAUAAUUUAAUUUAUACACAAAAAAGGAACCAAAAGAGCAAGUCAAGCUCUCACCUUUGACAUUUCUUUUGAGACAAUUACGUAGUUGAGAUGCGAGUAUAGGAUUAAUCCUGUUAAUAACAUCUAAAGUUUCCGGGACAGA